GAGGAAUAUUGGUCAAUGGGCGAGAGCCUGAACCAGCCAAGUAGCGUGCAGGAUGACGGCCCUCCGGGUUGUAAACUGCUUUUAGUUGGGAAUAAAAAAAGGGACGUGUCCCUUCUUGUAUGUACCUUCAGAAAAAGGACCGGCUAAUUCCGUGCCAGCAGCCGCGGUAAUACGGAAGGUCCAGGCGUUAUCCGGAUUUAUUGGGUUUAAAGGGAGCGUAGGCGGAUUGUUAAGUCAGCGGUUAAAGGGUGUGGCUCAACCAUGCAUUGCCGUUGAAACUGGCGAUCUUGAGUGCAGACAGGGAUGCCGGAAUUCGUGGUGUAGCGGUGAAAUGCUUAGAUAUCACGAAGAACUCCGAUCGCGAAGGCAGGUGUCCGGGCUGCAACUGACGCUGAGGCUCGAAAGUGUGGGUAUCAAACAGGAUUAGAUACCCUGGUAGUCCACACAGUAAACGAUGUAUACUCGCGGUUUGCGAUAGACAGUAAGCCGCCAAGCGAAAGCAUUAAGUAUACCACCUGGGGAGUACGCCGGCAACGGUG
rnacentral:rRNA from 1 species